ACUCCGUAUACGUGAGUCGGCUCAUAUAUGUAUUUCCGCGAUCGCAGGAGGUGAGCCGGCUCGCGGAGGAACCGCACGGGAUCUCAGGGCGGGGAACACAACAUAUGCCUUUGAUCUCGUGUAUCACGCGGCACAAAAUCGCCUACUCUACUAGCUCGCCAGAGAGAGCUCGCCUCGGAGUAGGCGACUAGAUCGAUCUCCCGCUCAGCUGCUCUAGACGAAAGAAAAAAGAGCUUUUAUGCUUGCACGACCUGCUGAAUCUGAACUUGCGAAAGAUAUAGGGAUCAAGCUGCAGACAGAGCAUGCUCGCAACCUGUUCGUCGGAAUGCUGCCAUGACUGUGGACUGCGUGCCGGCCCUAGAGUCCAUACGAUCAUCUCCUCUGAAGGGAAACUAUCGUGAGCUGCAGUCUCAGAGGAAUAUUUUUGAGACAAAUCUGUAGGAGAGGCUCUGACAGAGAAUAUAUUAAGAAAAAUAAUAUGUACAAGUGCAUACAAGGACGCAAGCUCAAGGCAGAGCACCAGAAAAGGGAAAAAGAUCUCAGAGGAAUAUGAGUACUGAACUGCUGAUUCACUAUUAAGUGGCUCGUCAAAAUUAUUCCAAGGACUAAUAUACUGCACACAGAUGGAUUCACAUAGUGUCUUCUGCAGACAAGUUCUCUCAGCCAUGAGAUGUUUUCGCGUGACCUUGCCGAAUAUCCACCUGCAAUGGCAGAGAAUGGUCAAAUCGGGGGCCCAGAAGAUCCAGACAUUCUUUUCCCUAUGGAAGAUGGAUGUUAAGGAGGAGACGACUCCCUGUAUGCAUGAUUCAUCAAGUGCAGUCCAGCACUAAAGGAAAGCGAAAUAAAAGAGUGGCACGCUUUUGGAAAGCACCAUGGUCCAUCCAUGGGCAGUUGAGCACGCCCCUGCAGGAACCCCAAUCUGGAAAAGGAUAGAAGAAAUCGAGCCAGAAUCUGAUUAUUUAUGGACACACCUCCGGUUGGGGUAUCCACCAUCAUCCAAUGCGGAGCACAGUGCGUGCUGAAAUAGAGGAGGUGGCGUUACAAAGAUUCAUACCUGCCAUUCUGAGCUUACACCGAACUCUAUCGGGUAAUCUGAAUGGAAAGCAGGGCUUUCCACUGGGUGGAGCUGAUCGGUCAUUUGUCUUGUAGCAAUGAUCUUAUCGCCAUGUUUGCAUAAAAUGGAGGCCAUAAUUACCACUUUAUCAUGCUUCUGCCUGCCUUUCCUCAUGGGGAUAUGCUAUUUUAUGCUAUAAAGAGCAGAUCAUGGUCAGGGAUAAGACUAGAAUGACCUGCAAGUGGUUUGUUGCUCAUCAUCUCUACUUUACUUUCAUGAAUGAUAAAUUGCAGUGUUCUCGUUUCUCAAGAAAAUAAAUGAUGAUUGAUUA